GAUGAACGCUAGCGGAAGGCUUAAUACAUGCAAGUCGAGCGGUAGAUGGUUUCGGCCAUUGAGAGCGGCGCACGGGUGAGUAACGCGUACAUGACCUGCCUGUCAGAAGGGGAUAGCCCUGGGAAACUGGGAUUAAUACCCUAUGGUAUUGAUAUUAUAGAUGGUAUCAAUUAAAGCUGAGGCGCUGACAGAUGGAUGUGCGUCUGAUUAGCUAGUUGGUAGGGGAACGGCCUACCAAGGCGACGAUCAGUAGGGGGCGGGAGAGCGUGGUCCCGCACACGGGUACUGAGACACGUACCCGACUCCUACGGGAGGCAGCAGUACGGAAUAUUGGUCAAUGCCCGCAAGGGUGAACCAGCCAUUCCGCGUGGAGGAUGAAGUCCCUAUGGGUUGUAAACUUCUUUUAGAUGAGAAGAAAAUGCUAGAUUUUUCUGGUACUGACGGUACCAUCAGAAUAAGCACCGGCUAACUCCGUGCCAGCCGCCGCGGUAAAAC
rnacentral:rRNA from 1 species